GAUUAACGCUGGCGGCGUGCAUAACACAUUCAAGUCGAACGGUGACGGGGACUUCGGUCCCCCGAUCAGUGGCGGACGGGUGAGUAACGCGUGAGCAAUCUACCUCUUGGUGAGGGAUAACAACCGGAAACAGUUGCUAAUACCUCAUGAAACGGCAGUACCGCAUGGUACAACCGUCAAAGAUUUAUGCCAAGAGAUGAGCUUGCGUCUGAUUAGCUAGUUGGUGAGGUAACGGCUCACCAAGGCGACGAUCGGUAGCCGGACUGAGAGGUUGAACGGCCACAUUGGAACUGAGAUACGGUCCAG
rnacentral:rRNA from 1 species